GAUGAACGCUGGCGGCGUGCCUAAUACAUGCAAGUCGAGCGAACGGACGAGAAGCUUGCUUCUCUGAUGUUAGCGGCGGACGGGAGAGUAACACGUGGAUAACCUACCUAUAAGACUGGGAUAACUUCGGGAAACCGGAGCUAAUACCGGAUAAUAUUUUGAACCGCAUGGUUCAAAAGUGAAAGACGGUCGUGCUGUCACUUAUAGAUGGAUCCGCGCUGCAUUAGCUAGUUGGUAAGGUUACGGCCUACCAAGGCAACGAUGCAUAGCCGAACUGAGAGGGUGAUAGGCCACCUGAGAACGGGGACAGCCUCCAGACGACUGCGGGAGGCAGCAGUCGGGAAUCUGCCGCAAUAGGCGGAAGCCUGACGGAACGGGGCCGCGCCAGUGAUGGAGGCGCUCGGAGCGUGAUGCUCUGUUAUUAGGGGAGAACCUAUGUCUAAGUAACUGUACACAUCUUGACGGUAACUAGUCAGGAAGCCCCGGCUAACUACGUG
rnacentral:rRNA from 1 species